rnacentral:rRNA from 1 species
GACGAACGCUGGCGGCGUGCUUCAUACAUGCAAGUCGAGCGGGGUCCAUCCAGUGGCAACACUGGUGAAGACCUAGCGGCGAACGGGUGAGUAACACGUGAGGAACCUGCCCCAGAGACCGGGAUAACCCUCCGAAAGGAGAGCUAAUACCGGAUGCCCCCACCGGAUCGCAUGGUCUGGUGAGGAAAUGGAUUCCGCUCUGGGAGGGCCUCGCGGCCUAUCAGCUUGUUGGUGAGGUAACGGCUCACCAAGGCGUCGACGGGUAGCUGGUCUGAGAGGACGGUCAGCCACACUGGGACUGAGACACGGCCCAGACUCCUACGGGAGGCAGCAGUAGGGAAUCUUGCGCAAUGGGCGAAAGCCUGACGCAACAACGCCGCGUGGGGGAUGAAGGCUCUCGGGUUGUAAACCCCUUUCAGCAGGGACGAUUAUGACGGUACCUGCAGAAGAAGGACCGGCCAACUACGUGCCAGCCGCCGCGGUAAUAC